rnacentral:tRNA from 1 species
AGUUGGAAUAGCUCAGUUGGUUAGAGCGUGUGGCUGCUAACCACAAGGUUGGAGGUUCGACCCCUUAUUCAUUU